AUGCUUACUACUUACUGUCAUCUCUCUACACCCAAUUGUUAUUCUUCUUCUUCUUCUUCUUCAAUCAGUGAGGCAGCAGUCCUUCACCUCCUUGCGCAACGCAAUCAACACAGGCCACACCCACACACGCCUCUCUCUCCCCACAAGUCUGCGGCUACAGUGCUUACCACUAGCAGCCAGCCAACAAAAAUAACCUACACUGCUCCAUUCCUACAGUGCCACCCAUGUUCCUUCCUUCCUUUAUUUGUUUCUUUGUUUGUUUGUUUCUUUGUUUUACCUUUACUUCCUUUUGUAUUCAUAUAA
rnacentral:rRNA from 1 species